rnacentral:tRNA from 1 species
AUAUAGCUUAAAUCAAAAGCAUUCAGCUUACACCUGAAAAAUGUCCCCUAAAACAAGACUAUU